ensembl:lncRNA
UGGAGAACCUGGUGGGAAGGCAGGGCCAACCCAGGGGAACUCAGGUGUAUGCAAUGCACCUGAAUUACUGGAAGGGGUGGAGCCAGAAUGCACCCCUUCCCAGACCUCAUUUAGCAGUUGGCAGUGGAAGUGAGAGUAACUCACUGGAGGUCCCUGCCUACCGGAUGGCCUUCCAAAGGUUUGAAAAAAAAGGCUUAUUUAGAUCCACCUGAAGACUUACAUGUGAUGUCAACAAGUUCUGCUGACCCUAUUGCUGAGAAAGGAAAAGAGGUUUUCUGUGAAAAAAAAUGAUUCAGUCCAUGUGAUGGCAAACAAAUCAUCCUUGGUUUUGAGGAGGACUGCUGCAACAGAGAUAAUAGGAUUUCCCAUGAGUGGAAGCCUUCCCUGUUGGGGUACCAACAGAAAAACAAGUGGAGAUGUAGUCCUGCUACCCACAGGCAACCAAUGGAAAACUACAGAAGGAUCUCAGUUAGAUCUGAUCCUACAGAAGGAUCUGAGUUAUAAACUCAGUCUUCCUAGUCAAAAGAUUUUGAACCCAAGCAAGUAUGGCAAGAUCUAUUUAGCUGGAAUGAGUAAAAGGAACUGGAAUAACUUAAAAAAAAAAAAAAAACAACAGUCUCUCUCCUUACGGAAAAACUUGGUCUCUUUAUGCCUGGUUAAUUAAUAUCCUCACAAGUCCAAAACAAGAGUUGAAAAGAGAAGCCUUGCCAACAGAGAACAUCAGCACUUUUUAAUUAUGCUCUUUGUGGUAAAAGGUGGGCCGGUGAGAUGACCUACAGGAGGAAGUCAGCACUUUUUGAUUUCCAUGGACAUAAAUAGGAGCCAUUACUUUCAGAGUGACGUAUGUAUCACUGGAAAUACCUAGAGGAGACACCAAGCAAAAUGGAAAGUCUAUGAGUAAUGUUUCAGAGAGGAAGAAAUGCAGUGCCCCAUUUUGGGACGUCCAUUUUGACUCAUAGCAUUUGCACACCGAACAGUUUCCUUCAAGAAAUAAACUUUAUCCAAGGAGCAGCUAGAUGCCUGUACCUGUUCCAAUUGCACCACUCUACUUGUUUCUCUUCAUGCAGCCAGGAGACUACCAAAAUCUCUGUAAGUACAAAGAAAGAAAGUAUUUUUCUACCAGUUUGCAAUUCUGAUGUGUCUCUACCUUGGAGGAGUCUGUGGUCCUGGUUCCAUCAGUGCACUUCUACAAUCAUCACCAAAGCCAUCUCGGUGAGAAAAUGUCCUGGUUAAGAGGAAAAGUGAAA